GCUUACGGCCAUACCACCUUAGGCACGCCCGAUCUCGUCUGAUCUCGGAAGCUAAGCAGGGUCGGGCCAGGUUAGUACUUGGAUGGGUGACCGCUUGGGAAUACUAGGUGCUGCAAGCA
rnacentral:rRNA from 10 species